UACAGUGCGGCAGGGAUGCAGGGA
rnacentral:piRNA from 1 species